GCGAUGGAUGUUUGUUGGAAUAGAUACGACUGACACGAUUGGCUAUGGCUACGUAUGCCCAAUAAACAGCCAUUGCAAUCGUAAAACACACACCCCCCUACUAGAUUUACAGUAGGCAGGUCUGCAGACCUUUUUUAAGUUGUGAUUAGGUCUGGUUAUAAUCAGACAACCGAGACAGUCAUGCCUUCCAGAACUUGCCAUAUGCACGCCACUCCACCUGCACUGGCUUGUAUAACAUGAUUCUUACAUUAACACAGUAUUGCGAGUAUGAUCGCAUUUUAACAAAGCAAUGACACGUAUGGAUGAACUCUUAAACUGUUCUCUCUCUAUUAUAUCUCCCCACUCCUGAAAUUAUUUGUUGAUUUAGUCUACAAUUCAGCAGUUUCCAAACUUUAUUCCCUGUGCACCCCCUUGUAUAUUUUAAUGUGGUUUGCUCACCCUCAGCCUAAGCGUGUUUGCACUAUGGGUUAGCAAAUCACCGCACAUUAUGCAGAGUCAUUUUGGAGAAUCCUCAUUCCCAAUAGACCCAAUAUUUUUCUGCCGUCAUUACAAUGGAACUUGUUACAUGACAAUAUAAAUUACACUAUGAAUUGCACUUCCAAUGGACCCUUCCAGCAUACAAUUCACUAUACAGUUAAAAAAAACCUACUACUUAUUGUUCAUUAAUGCUGUUUAAAACACACACAUAUCCACCAUUACUGUACUCUAUUCAUUUUGUGCACUCCCUUAUGGAAGGCCGCGCACCCCAGUUUGGGAAACCCUGGUCUACAUAUUUCACUAAAAAGAAUUGAUUACAUGAUUACUCCUAAAAUAAUAUGCCAUAUGUUUUUCAGGUGGCUUUGUAACAGUGAUUGUGGGAGGAUGCUGUGCAGGUGUCAACAUGAGUGUGUCAACAUGAAUGUGCCGGAGGACUAGAGUAUGCUGGCGUCGACACCCCACCUCCUCCCCUUCAGACUCCAUCGAGGGUUGGUCCCUGUCCUGUGAGGAGAGGAUGCAAUGGGUCUCUGCUUCAGCCGUGGCACCUUCUCUACAACCCUCGCCACUGUCACCAGUUUGUCCCCAUCCUGUGAAGGGGGGUAGGCUUUAGCCCCCUGCCUCAUCAAUCGGCAGGAUAAGCGCCCUCUUCUUUGAAACAGGACAUGUUUUAUUGAUGCUCUACAUGAGUAUUAUAUACAUGUAUAUAUACAGUGCCAUGUGUAUGUUUUUACCCCCCCCUACUGAUUUUGUUUACUUUUUUGCACAUUUGGCACACUUAACAUUUUCAGAUAGCCACACUAAUGUAAACAUUACCCAUGACCCAAGUAAGCAUAAAAUGCAGUUUCUCAGUGAUUAA